UGUGCCUACGGGACGCAGCAGUGGGGAAUAUUGCACAAUGGGGGAAACCCUGAUGCAGCGACGCCGCGUGAAGGAAGAAGUAUCUCGGUAUGUAAACUUCUAUCAGCAGGGAAGAAAAUGACGGUACCUGACUAAGAAGCUCCGGCUAAAUACGUGCCAGCAGCCGCGGUAAUACGUAUGGAGCAAGCGUUAUCCGGAUUUACUGGGUGUAAAGGGAGCGUAGACGGCUUGGCAAGCCAGAUGUGAAAGGCUGGGGCUCAACCCCAGGACUGCAUUUGGAACUGUCAUGCUAGCGUGUCGGCGAG
rnacentral:rRNA from 1 species